rnacentral:piRNA from 1 species
UGUUCCUGAAAUGGUGAGAGUGUGCCAAAGU